rnacentral:lncRNA from 11 species
UGCAAUUCCUAGGGCAGUUUUCUUGCAUUGAAAAACAACCUAACUCACAAAACUUACGGAAGUUAAUGAAAUUCUUAUGACACUUCAUAAAUGGGUGUUUUGAUUCAUUUGCAUUUGGCGGGGGCACAGCUCUUGCUUCGUAAAUCAGGUCAUAAGAAAAGAUGAAAUAUGAAGCCAUAGAAGAAGAUACAAAAGAAGUCCCAUUGUAGAAAAAAAUAACAAAAAGAAGAACUGAAGAAAUGAUCAAGCUUCCUCAGAAAA